rnacentral:rRNA from 1 species
AGUGAACGCUGGCGGCGUGCUUAACACAUGCAAGUCGAACGAGAACGGAAUAUAGCUUGCUAUAUUUGUCAGCUAAGUGGCGCACGGGUGAGUAAUGUAUAGAUAACCUGCCCUUAAGAAAGGAAUAACAGUUGGAAACGACUGCUAAUGCCCUAUAUGCCUUUAAUACAUAAGUAUGCAAGGGAAACGCUUUAGUGCUUAAGGAUGGGUCUGUAUGGUAUCAGCUUGUUGGUGAGGUAAUGGCUCACCAAGGCUAUGACGCCUAACUGGUUUGAGAGGAUGAUCAGUCACACUGGAACUGAGACACGGUCCAGACUCCUACGGGAGGCAGCAGUGGGGAAUAUUGCACAAUGGACGAAAGCCUGAUCCAGCCACGCCGCGUGGGUGAUGAAGGCC